rnacentral:lncRNA from 1 species
UGACCCUUCCCAAAUGGAUCCCUCCCAAACGGAUCCUUCCCAAACUGACCCUUCCCAAAAGGAUCCAUCCCAAAUUGAUCCUCCCCAAACGGACCCUCCCCAAACUGACUCUUCCCAAAUUAACCUUUCCCAAAUGGAUCCUUCCCAAAUGAACUCUUCCCAAAUUAACCUUUCCCAAAUGAACUCUUCCCAAAUUAACCUUGCCCACGUUGACCCUUCCCAAAUGGAUCCAUCCCAAAUUGAUCUUUCCCAAAUGGACCCUUCCCAAACGGAGAGCAAACCAGAGGCGCUACAAGAGCUCCCACAUUCCCAAGGGCAGCAGGAUCCUCAAUUCCAUCCAGGGAUCGAGGAGGAUCCAGCCCCACCAGCUGAGGGACAGAUUCCAAAAUUACAUUCCCAGUAUUUGGGGAACACACCCACGUGCACACCCAUGGGGUUUGGAUGGGAAAACCAAGGCAAUUCCCAGCAGGAAUGGGACAAGGAAGGGGAUGGGUUUGUAGGGAAUUCUACCAGGAGCCAUCCCUGGUGGGAUGAAUCCCCUUCCCGGGAUGCCUGUCCUGCUCCUGGAAUGUCCUGGGGCAUUCCUGGGAUUCCUGCCUGGCCCAGGAGAUGGGAAAUCCAGAGCAGGGAUUUUUCUUUUUUUUCCCCCCUCGCAUUUUUCUUUUUUUUUCCCCCUUGCAUUUUUCAUUUUUUUUCCCUUGCAUUUUUCCCUUUUUUUUUUCCCUUGGAUUUUUCUUUUUUUUUCCUCCUUGCAUUUUUCUUUUUUUUUUCCUUGGAUUCCUUUCUUUCCUUCCCUUUUUUUUCCUGCCCAAGCUGCUUUUCUUGGAUCCCUCACAGCGUGGGGAGUCCCCAUGGGAGGAGGAAUGACCCAGCUGCAAUCCAGGGAAAGGCAGAGGUCGGGCUCAGUCUCCUUUUCCAGCUCCUUUGCAGCUUCCAGGGAUUCUCACAUCACGUCUGGGAGCAGCCAGGAGAGAAAAGGAAUUUUUUCAGGCAGCUUGGACACGGUUUUAUAGGAGGCUGACAGAGCCAAAGCGCUGGAAUUCCCAUCUCAAUCCCAAUUAAAUUUCCA